rnacentral:lncRNA from 1 species
CUAUACCAAAUUUAAUUCGAAUCCGAAUCCGAAUCGAGUAAAUUUAUCCAAUAUUAAAUGAAUAUAGUUUCAGAUCCGAACCGAGUAAAUUUAUCCAAUAUUACAUGAAUAUAGUUUCAGAUAAGAAUAUUAAAAAUAAAAAUCCGACAAAUUUGAAUUCAUGUAUGGAUUUUGAUCGUAUCUGAUCAGAAUCGGAAAUCGACCUAAAUUCGACCCAAACCCAAAUUUAUUUUGUAAAUGUUUGAUUUAUAUUUGAACUUAUAUUUUAAAAAUUUAUAUUUAAUGUAAUAUAUUUUGAAAUAGGGUUAAUUUCAUACAGGUCUCUACAAACAUGAUGAAUAACAGAUAUAUCCCUGCAAAGUUCAAUUUUCAUAAAUUAUCCCUGCAAAAGUCCUAAUGUAUUCAGAUAUAUCCCUACCGUUAAUAUCUGUUAGAAAAAUCUAGUUAACCACAGCUAAAAUACUUAAACAUGAUUAAUUAAUAAUGUGAAUUGACAAUUUUGCCAUUCUUCCUCUUCCUCUUCUUCUUCCUCUCCUACUUCUUCUUCUUCCUCUUUUUCGUCGUAUCCUCCUUUUCCUCCUCCUUUUCUCCUCAUUCUUCUUUUUCUUCGUUGUCGUCGUCGCCAUCAUGGUUCCCGCGUGGGCCAUCGUCACGGGCACCUCCAACGGCAUCGGCCUCGUCUUCGCCUUCCGCCUCUUUCUUGUCCUCGUUGGCCGCAACCCCGACAAGCUCCGCAAGGUCGCCGUUGCCGCCGCCGCCGCUGUUCGCUCCCGCAACCUAAAGAGGAAGAGGAAGAGUGCAAGGGCAAAAGUGUCAUUUCACAACUUUAUUGUUAAAUUAACAGUUCUCUAACAGAUACUAACCAGAGGGACUUAUCUAAAUACAUUGGGACUUUUGCAGGAAUAAUUUAUGAAAGUUGAACUUUGCAGGGAUAUAUCUGCUAUUCACCAUGUUUGUAGGGACCUGUAUGAAAUUAACCUUUUGAAAUGUUGAAAAGAGAAAUAAUUAUUUCGGGUUCGGAUCUUCGGAUUCGGGCUUAGGUUCGGAUUUCGAAUUUUUAGUCAGAUUCGGAUUUGAAUAUAGAGUUUUAAAAUCUGCCGAAUUCGGAUUCGAAUUUAAAUUUCGAAUUUGAAGUCAAGUUCGGAUUUGAAUUUUUAAAAAUCUACCCAGAAUCCAACCUGUUGACGU